UAAUACGUACUGUGCGAACGUUAUUCGGAAUCACUGGGCUUAAAGGGUGCGUAGGCGGCCGCUUAAGUAGGGUGUGAAAUACCUCGGCUCAACCGAGGAAUUGCGCUCUAAACUGGACGGCUUGAGUGAGAUAGGGGUGUGCGGAACUUCCAGUGGAGCGGUGAAAUGUGUUGAUAUUGGAAGGAACGCCGGUGGCGAAAGCGGCACACUGGGUCUUAACUGACGCUGAGGCACGAAAGCCAGGGUAGCGAACGGGAUUAGAUACCCCGGUAGUCCUGGCUGUAAACGCUGAGCACUAGACGGGAGGGGCUUCGGCCCAUUCGGUCGCAGCGAAAGCAUUAAGUGCUCCGCCUGGGGAGUAUGGUCGCAAGGCUG
rnacentral:rRNA from 1 species